rnacentral:rRNA from 1 species
AUUGAACGCUGGCGGCAGGCCUAACACAUGCAAGUCGAGCGAGCGGCGGACGGGGGAGUAAUGUAUGGGGAAUGCGCGAUAGAGGGGGCGAACUACUGGAAACGGGGGCUAAUAUCGCAUACUGUAGGAUAAAACCUAUGGGAUUAGCUAGUAGGUCAGGUAAGGGCGUACCUAGGCGAAGAUCCCUAGCUGGUCUGAGAGGAUGAUAAUCCACACUGGGACUGAGACACGGCCCAGACUCCUACGGAGGCAGCAGUGGGGAAUAUUGCACAAUGGGCGCAAGCCUGAUGCAGCCAUGCCGCGUGUAUGAAGAAGGCCCUAGGGUUGUAAAGUAUUUUCAGUCGGGAGGCGUUACCGACAGAAGAAGCACCGGCUAACUCCGUGCCAGCAGCCGCGGUAAUAC